rnacentral:lncRNA from 1 species
CAGUACUCCACCAUAUUCACUGUGUGCUGACGUUCAUUAUGAACGAAUGAUGGAGCUUUUCGAUAGAAAAGGAUAUUUUUGUCCUACUGUAGACGAUAUUCAAAAUGCAGUAAAGAGCUCUUUAAAGGUAACAGAUGCACCAAGUCUUAUAAAUAUACUAAUCAAUCCAACUGCUGAACGCAAAGAACAAAAAUUCGGGUGGCUGACAGAAUCAAAGCUUUAAUAUUAUAUUUUUAUGAUAGAUGAUUGUUGAAUAAUGGAUAAAAGUUUGUACUAAAUUUAAGAAAAUAUUUUUAUUAAAAAAAAAUAUAAUAUGAAAUCUAUUAUAUAUGAAAAUAGAA